AUUUUAGAAAAUGUACCUAAAGUGGAAACAUGUUAGGAAUAAUAAUGAUAAUUAAAUAAAGUUUUGAAGGGAUCGGGUUAUAAUAGGCUAGCCAAAAGAACAAACAUGGAAUCAUUUGGCAUGAUGAAGUAUUUGAAUGGCAUAUGUGAAUAUGAGCAAGCCUAUAUUCUGAAAUGGAGACGGUUGUUUCCUAUGUUGAUACAGUAUUACUCUGUGAAUUGUCCUGUGGUCAAAGAUUAUAUUUCUAAGCAACUAGUAGCACAGAUGCCCACAGUACUGUUGCUGUGACUUCCAGUUGUGUUCUGUUGGCUCCCUUUCUGUAUUUGAGAGACAAGGUGUAAAUGGGGAGAUAAUACGAAAGUGAUCUUAAAGACAUGUGGUGUGUGAACCGUGUUCUUGUGGCCCAGGAUUAUGUCCAGUGGCAGACUCUUGUGAAAAUGAUAAAUCUUUGGGUUCUGUUAAAGGUGAUUACCAGCAAAGUGAUCAUUAGUUUCUUCAAGCCUCUACUUCAUCUUUAAUGACUAGUUCAUCUGUGCUGGUGGCAUCAUUCCACAUUCUGCUUAUUAGAAUUUUGUCGUGGACCAGCGACCUCACUUAAAUGGCCCACACCUUGAUAUAGUCCACCUGCAUAGCAGCGCUGUCUUCAUCUACGCCGAGCUGCCAAGAGGAGAGCCACUGACGUCGACCAUUCCAGAAGUCUGUUGAAGCCUGUAGUGAAUUUCAUCGAAUUAGGAAGAGCAGGCGAGUGGAGAAUUUAUAUUAGACCCUGAGCUCGCAUUCCAUCAGUACCUGGUGUCCAGGUGAGGCUGUAGACAUGGAAGUUUUCACACCA